UCAAAUCACCGAAGUUAAGCAUCGUAGAGCCAGGUCAAUACUUAGAUGGGGGACCGCUUGGGAACACCUGGUACUGUAAGC